AUUGAACGCUGGCGGCAGGCCUAACACAUGCAAGUCGAACGAGUAGCGGACGGGUGAGUAAUGUCUGGGAAACUGCCUGAUUGAGGGGGAUAACUACUUGCAACGGUAGCUAAUACCGCAUACCAUCGGAUGUUCCCCGAUGGGAUUAACUAGUAGGUGGGGUAACGGAGCACCUAGGCGACGCUCCCUAGCUUGUCUGAGAGGAUGACCAGCCACAAGGGAAAUGAGACACGGUCCAGAAGCCUACGUGAGGCAGAAGUGGGGAAAAUUGCACAAUGGGCGCAAGCCUGAGGCAGCCAUGCCGCGUGUAUGAAGAAGGACGUCGGGUUGUAAAGUACUUGCAGCGGGGAGGCGUUAACCGCAGAAGAAGCACCGGCUAACUCCGUGCCAGCAGCCGCGGUAAUAC
rnacentral:rRNA from 1 species